AUUCCAGCUCCAAUAGCGUAUAUUAAAGUUGUUGCAGUUAAAAAGCUCGUAGUUGGAGUUCAGAUUGAGCUCGGCCGGUCGGCCUAAUUGGUCAGAACUGGUUGACUCUGUCUUGUUUGUGGAUCCCUCCGGAGUUAACUCUUCGGAUGUGGAGUCCACAUCGUUUACCUUGAAAAAAUUAGAGUGUUCAAAGCAGGCGUUUGCUUGAAUAUAUUAGCAUGGAAUAAUGGAAUAGGACCCUGGUUCUAUUUUGUUGGUUUUGAGAACCAGAGUAAUGAUUAAUAGGGACAGUUGGGGGUAUUCGUAUUCCAUUGUCAGAGGUGAGAUUCUUGGAUUUAUGGAAGACGAACUACUGCGAAAGCAUUUACCAAGGAUGUUUUCAUUA
rnacentral:rRNA from 1 species